rnacentral:rRNA from 1 species
UACGGAGGGUGCGAGCGUUGUCCGGAAUCACUGGGCGUAAAGGGCGCGUAGGCGGCCUGAUAAGUAGGGGGUGAAAUCUUGCGGCUUAACCGCAAGGCUGCCUUCUAAACUGUCGGGCUAGAGCACAGUAGAGGCAGGUGGAAUUCCCGGUGUAGCGGUGGAAUGCGUAGAGAUCCGGAAGAACACCGGUGGCGAAGGCGGUCUGCUGGGCAGUUGCUGACACUGAGGCGCGACAGCGUGGGGAGCAAACAGG